rnacentral:rRNA from 1 species
CCUACGGGUGGCUGCAGUCGAGAAUCUUCGGCAAUGGGCGCAAGCCCGACCGAGCGACGCCGCGUGGAGGACGAAGGCCCUCGGGUUGUAAACUCCUGUCGAGGGGGAACAAGGGCGCGCGAAGAGCGCGCCUUGAGUGAACCCUGGAGGAAGCACGGGCUAAGUUCGUGCCAGCAGCCGCGGUAAGACGAACCGUGCGAACGUUAUUCGGAAUCACUGGGCUUAAAGCGCGCGUAGGCGGGCCGGCACGUCGGAUGCUGAAAGCCCCCGGCUCAACCGGGGAAGGGGCACCGAUACGACCGGCCUGGAGUGGGGUAGGGGGAGCCGGAACUUCCGGUGGAGCGGUGAAAUGCGUUGAGAUCGGAAGGAACGCCCGUGGCGAAAGCGGGCUCCUGGACCCCAACUGACGCUGAGGCGCGAAAGCCAGGGGAGCGAACGGG